rnacentral:misc_RNA from 1 species
AAUCAUGUAAUAAUCUCUUUAUAAAGAGAUCAAAUUAUGAGUAAAAUAUCAAGCAAAUUAUCUCAAUUGUUCUGUAAGGUUUGAAACUCUCUUUUAACGAGUCUUGAGGUUCUGGGCUCCCUCCGACAAGUCCUACUUUUCUGUACCGCAACAAGGCAAAGGCUACAGGUUCUGAGAAAGACUUUGUAGUUCAUCGCCCUGUGACUCGAUCCUUGACUCGUGAA